CCGAACCAAACCGGAAAACCGAACCGAACCAGUCCGAAAAAAAUUAUGGAGUGGUUAAAACGGUUAACAUGGAGUGGUUUGGUUUAAGAUUUUUAAAAAUCCCGGUUUUCGGUUAUGGUUUGGAUUUAAGGCUCGGUUAACCGAACCGAACCGAAAACCGAAAAACCCCUAAACUACGUCGUUUUAAAGAUCUGAUAAAAAAAAAGAGACAAAUGAUACACACUAUAAAACCUACCUUUAUAAUUGUAACCCUAAUUUACCUUUGUUCCAGCCGUCUCACAUCUCUUCUCCCUAUUUUCUCUAACCCAAACAUUUUUCUUCUCCUCCUCCAAUUCUUUCCCACCCAAAUAUUUCCCUUGUCCUCCAUCUAUUCUCUCCAUAGUUGAAAGAUUUUAUUGCAAAAAGCUUCACUGUUAUUUAAUGGUUAUUCAGGUGUGAAAUUCGUCGGCUUUUCGAUGGCUAGAGUUCGAGGUUUUGCUAUUAGAUGCUUAUUAUACAUGUUUAUACAAGAUGGCUUCCAUCAAAAGCUUAUUUUUAAAGGUCUAGCUAUUUAUGCAAAUCUGUGACUAAAGAAAGAGCUUCAAAGGAAAUCAACAAUGUUUUGUAUUUUAGUUUUAGAUUUGGUGACAGAAAUGUAAUAAAUUGCAUUUUAGUUUUAGGUUUAGAAAAAUGUAAAACUAUAUUUACACUUGAUUAGUAUAAUAAAUCAUGUAUAUAAUUAUUUAAUUUUUAUAUUUAGACCUGUUUUUUUUGUCUAAA